AUGCUUCGCGGCCCGCGGCGCGCGCGGGGCCUCUGCCUCCUGCUGCUGUUGCUGCUGCUGCUGCCGCUCCCGGGCGCGCCGGGGCACGGCGGCGCGGCGUGGCCGGGGGAGGCGGCCGACGAGCCGGGCUCGGCAUGGGCCUGGCCGGGCUUCCAGCGCCUGCAGGAGCGGCUGAGGGCGGCCGGUGCCCUCUCCAGGCGGUACUGGGCGCUCUUCCGCUGCCAGGUGUGGCCCGGCGACUGUGAGGAGGACGAGGAGGCUGCCGCGGGUCCCCUGGGCUGGAGCCUUCCCGUGUUGGGCCAGCAGUACCUGGAUAUCCUGACCACAUGGUACUGCAGCUUCCAGGACUGCUGCAACAGUGGGGAUUGCAGGAUCUCCAACAACUUUACAGGCUUAGAGUCGGACCUGAGAGUGAGACUGCAUGGCCAGCAUUUGGCCCGAGAGCUGGUCCUGAGGACAGUGAGACACUACUUAGAGAUGCCCCAGCCAGACAAGGCCCUGGCUCUGUCAUUUCACGGCUGGUCUGGCACAGGCAAGAACUUCGUGGCCCGCAUGCUGGCAGAGAGCCUGUAUCGGGACGGGCUGAGGAGUGACUGCGUCAAGAUAUUUAUUGCCACGUUCCACUUUCCCCACCCCAAGUACACGGACCUGUACAAGGAGCAGCUGAUGGGUCAGAUCCAGGAGACACAACAGCGCUGCCACCAGACCCUGUUCAUCUUUGAUGAAGCUGAGAAGCUGCACCCGGGGCUGCUGGAGGUCCUUGGGCUGCAGUUGGAACACCAGUCCUCUGAGGGCCACAGGGCUGAGUCUCAGAGAACCAUCUUUCUCUUUCUCAGUAACCUUGGGGGCAAUAUCAUCAAUGAGGUGGUCCUGAAUUGGCUUAAGGCUGGAUGGUCCCGGGAAGAAAUUACAAUGGAACAUUUGGAGCCCCACCUCCAGGCUGAGAUUGUGGAGUCCACAGACAGUGGCUUUGGCCACAGCCGUCUUGUGAAGGAAAAUCUGGUUGACUUCUUCGUUCCCUUCUUGCCACUGGAGUACCAUCAUGUGAGGCUGUGUGCACGGGAUGCUUUCCAGAACCAGGAGCUCCCAUAUACAGAAGAGGCUUUGGAUGAAAUCGCCAAGAUGAUGGUGUAUGUCCCCAAAGAACAACAACUCUUUUCUUCCCAGGGCUGCAAAUCUAUUUCCCAGAGAAUUAACUAUUUCCUACCUUGAAGGCUAGAUGACUUCCAGGAGCUGCCUUCUUCCCACUAAGAGGACCCUUUAAGAGCACUGUUUGGAACUGUAAGCUGUGGGAGGGACAGACUGGCAUCCAGCAAUCACUAAUACACUGCUCAUGUGUAAAAGGCCUUAAAUCAGAAGCAGAGCCAAUUCUUAAAAUCACUUGGUGCCUUAAAGACAUGCAUUCCAAAAUGUGGGCCAGGUGGUUGGAAAUCAACAAAUCCCAAGGGCUUAUUAUGACUCUACAGAUGGUCUCACAUCUCAGCUCUUCCUUACAGAUGCCUGGACUUGGGUGUUGGGCCUCAGAAGCUGCAGGAGUCUUGGGUUACAUAGCAGGGAAGAAUGAAGUUCCAUGACCCAGUGGUGGGGAAUACACCUCAGGUUUGCAGGCCAAGUGGGCUGGCUUUCAAGUUGUUACUCCCAGAGGAAAGCCCAGCAGCUUCUGUUGUGAGCAGAUCAGCAACGAGCCUCAGGCCGAAGCGACAGGUGUACAGAGGAAGAUAUUUUCAAAAUCAGGUAAUCCUGACGGGGACUGGUGGAUCCAGGGGUGGCAUGCUGACAUGCAUGGAGCUGAUAAGGUAUGUGACUGGUCUGCUAAUUUACUUGUUUGCUUUGGGACCACAUCAGCUGAGCACAACCUCUUACUGAAGAGGUUUCCACAGCAUUGUUGCUCUUACAUACGAAAACGUUCACUCGUGUACUCCCAGCUUUAAAAAAAAAGCAGUCAUUUUUGAGGAUUAAAUGGCAAUGUGUAAAUGUGUGGCAUUGUGCCUGUUAAUAUAUAGGUGGUGCUCAUUAUGUUUUUUCUCUUUUCUUGGUUCUUCCCUUCUACCACACAUCUGGAAUAU